GUUUAGUUCAAUGGUAGAGCAUAUGUUUAGCAUGCAUAAGGCUCUGGGUUUGAUUCCAGAAC
rnacentral:tRNA from 1 species